rnacentral:rRNA from 1 species
UCGGAGACGAUGCUCGUGCGGGCGGUGAUGCGACACGUGUAUCCGAAAGACUCUCGGCAACGGAUAUCUCGGCUCUUGCAUCGAUGAAGAACGUAGCGAAAUGCGAUACUUGGUGUGAAUUGCAGAAUCCCGUGAACCAUCGAGUCUUUGAACGCAAGUUGCGCCCGAAGCCAUUAGGCCGAGGGCACGCCUGCCUGGGUGUCGCCCAUCGUUGCCCCCAUUGCCUUGCCCUCGUGCUAGGCACCGAGCUGGGCGAACGCUGGCUUCCCGCGAGCAACGCCUCACGGUUGGUUGAAAACUGAGUCCGUGGUGGAGGGCGCGCCGUGACGGAUGGUGGUUGAG